rnacentral:lncRNA from 1 species
AUUCUUCUCUUUCAUCCCUGCACCCAGCGAAGCAGCUUAUUUUUUCCCUUUUCUUUCAUUGAUUACAGUUAUUACUUUCCAAUGUCUCUUCUCGGACUUUCCAUGGGAUUAUGCUUUGCUUUGACAUAAUCAAAAAAAGCAAAGAAAUGAAAAAUGCAUAAGAAAGAGAAAUGUUUUAGCCACUCUGUACAAGAGAAACACUACUACUUUCAAGCACUGUUUUCUGUAGCUUCUCAUGGAGCCUGCUCAGUUGAAGCAUCAGCUUUGCUUGGCUUUCUUUGACAGGAGGCUCAAGACUGACUGGUUCUUAUUUCCAGUGAGAACAAGAUUGUGAAUGGUGAGUAGCAUUUGUUAUUACUCUUCAGUUGUAGGAUAUGGAUUCCUCACCAAGGCCAAAAUAUUAAACUAUAGUUCCUUUCUCCAAUCAAGCAGAUAUCAGCUGACUUCACUGGUAAAUAAG